AUUGAACGCUGGCGGCAUGCCUUACACAUGCAAGUCGAACGGUAACAGGUCUUCGGAUGCAGACGAGUGGCGAACGGGUGAGUAAUACAUCGGAACGUGCCCGAUCGUGGGGGAUAACGAAGCGAAAGCUUUGCUAAUACCGCAUAAGAUCUACGGAUGAAAGCAGGGGACCGCAAGGCCUUGCGCGAACGGAGCGGCCGAUGGCAGAUUAGGUAGUUGGUGGGAUAAAAGCUUACCAAGCCGACAAUCUGUAGCUGGUCUGAGAGGACGACCAGCCACACUGGGACUGAGACACGGCCCAGACUCCUACGGGAGGCAGCAGUGGGGAAUUUUGGACAAUGGGCGAAAGCCUGAUCCAGCCAUGCCGCGUGCAGGAUGAAGGCCUUCGGGUUGUAAACUGCUUUUGUACGGAACGAAAAGACUCUUUCUAAUAAAGAGGGUCCAUGACGGUACCGUAAGAAUAAGCACCGGCUAACUACGUGCCAGCCGCCGCUGUAA
rnacentral:rRNA from 1 species